AAUUCCAAAAGUUAUGGAGGAGUGUACCAGUAGAUUCCAUGGAUGAUGAGAAGAUUGAAGAAUACCUAAAAAGGCAGGGAAUUUCUUCGAUGCAAGAAUCCGGACCAAAGAAAAUUGUUUUUCUCAGUGCUUUAUCCUAAUCACAUGGGUAAUAAUAUAUGCUGGUGAUUGGUUUCCUCUCUAAUUUCACAUGACUCCAAUCUGGUGCACGUGAUUGGAUUCCAGUGCAGAAGAGGAAGAAGGCCACCUCACAGCGGAGGAGGUUUAAGACACAUAAUGACCACUUGGCGGGAAUGCUGAAAGAUUAUACAGAUGUUACUCCAGGCAAACUAUAAGUUGGACUAAGGACGUUUACUGAGUAUCUUCACUGUAAGAUCUCCUUAGCUGCUCAUCAACUCCAAACCUUAUUGGUUACUUUAUAUUUCCCUUCACAGACUCAAAAAUCCAGUGUUACUUCCUCUGGGUGUCAGAGAGACCAUUUAUUUCAGUCUU